CAGUCGCCGCGGGAACACGUAGGUGGCAAGCGUUGUCCGGAAUUAUUGGGCGUAAAGGGCUCGCAGGCGGUUUCUUAAGUCUGAUGUGAAAGCCCCCGGCUCAACCGGGGAGGGUCAUUGGAAACUGGGAAACUUGAGUGCAGAAGAGGAGAGUGGAAUUCCACGUGUAGCGGCGAAAUGCGUAGAGAUGUGGAGGAACACCAGUGGCGAAGGCGACUCUCUGGUCUGUAACUGACGCUGAGGAGCGAAAGCGUGGGGAGCGAACAGGAUUAGAUACCCGCGUAGUCCCUGUCUCUUAUAC
rnacentral:rRNA from 1 species